rnacentral:tRNA from 1 species
AUCGCGAAGUUCGCUCAGCCGGUUACCCCGAUAGCUAUCGGGGAGGAUUCAUAAUCCUGAGGUCGGGUGUUCGAGUCACCCUCGCGCUA